UACAGAGGGGGCAAGCGUUAUUCGGAAUUAUUGGGCGUAAAGGGCGCGUAGGCGGCCAACUAAGUCGGAUGUGAAAUCCCCAGGCUCAACUUGGGAACUGCAUCCGAUACUGGUCGGCUUGAAUCCGGGAGAGGGAUGCAGAAUUCCUGGUGUAGCGGUGAAAUGCGCAGAUAUCAGGAGGAACACCGGUGGCGAAGGCGGGUCUCUGGGCCGAUACUGACGCUGAGGAGCGAAAGCGUGGGGAGCGAACAGG
rnacentral:rRNA from 1 species